CUGUCUCCUGACUCGAAAGAUGUGUGCUUAUUGUGUGCUGCUGUGUUCUGUUUCUGUAUGAAACUAAAUGAAACUUAUGAAACCAGAUAAAACUGAAUUUUAUGAAUUUUCCAUCGGGAAUAUUGAAACCACUCCAGUUUUAUUGAUACCCGAAUUGUAUUUGAAAUAAUUUGCACCAUAACUCAACCUCAACACCAACAAUGUAGAACAACUGAAGAGAACUCAAACAUUCAGUGACAGCAACACCUACCUACGUGAAUAACCACAAGAAGAAUACCAAUCUCCAAUCUAGAUGAGGAUUGACAUUGAUUACAGUUCCAGAUUAGGCAACAAAAUAUCAGUGUUGAAGAAAAGCAAUGUUCUAAGCAGGAAAAUUUGGCCUGAAUGACGCUGGUCUAAAUGUCCCUGGCCUGAACAUCCACCAAUCAUUGCUAGCUGUUAAUCUUUUCAUUCAACAUUUUCUACAGCCAAUUUCUUUCAACGUGAACAACAAGAUAAUAGAACUCUGGAAUCUCUGGGUCACGACCGACAUGAGCGUGAAUGCUGCUGGCCAAGACAGAAUUUGAAAGCCCCUCUAUCACGAGCUAUACCAAGCUAUACUAUU